rnacentral:rRNA from 1 species
UACGGGGGGGGUAAGCGUUGUUCGGAAUUACUGGGCGUAAAGGGCUCGUAGGCGGCCAACUAAGUCAUACGUGAAAUCCCUCAGCUUAACUGGGGAACUGCGUCUGAUACUGGUUGGCUUGAGUGCAGGAGAGGAAUGCGGAAUUCCAGGUGUAGCGGUGAAAUGCGUAGAUAUCGGGAGGAACACCUGCGGUGUAGACAGCUUUCUGGACCACUUCUGACGCUGAGACACGAAAGCGUGGGUAGCAAACAGG